GACGAACGCUGGCGGCGUGCUUAACACAUGCAAGUCGAACGGAAAGGCCCUGCUUUUGUGGGGUGCUCGAGUGGCGAACGGGUGAGUAACACGUGAGUAACCUGCCCUUGACUUUGGGAUAACUUCAGGAAACUGGGGCUAAUACCGGAUAGGAGCUCCUGCUGCAUGGUGGGGGUUGGAAAGUUUCGGCGGUUGGGGAUGGACUCGCGGCUUAUCAGCUUGUUGGUGGGGUAGUGGCUUACCAAGGCUUUGACGGGGAGCCGGCCUGAGAGGGUGACCGGCCACAUUGGGACUGAGAUACGGCCCAGACUCCUACGGGAGGCAGCAGUGGGGAAUAUUGCACAAUGGGCGGAAGCCUGAUGCAGCAACGCCGCGUGCGGGAUGACGGCCUUCGGGUUGUAAACCGCUUUCGCCUGUGACGAAGCGUGAGUGACGGUAAUGGAUAAAGAAGCACCGGCUAACUACGUG
rnacentral:rRNA from 1 species